rnacentral:rRNA from 1 species
UACAGAGGGUGCGAGCGUUGCUCGGAUUGACUGGGCGUAAAGGGCGCGUAGGCGGCUUGCACCGUCAGAUGUGAAAUUCCUGGGCUUAACCUGGGGGCUGCAUUUGAUACGUGUGGGCUUGAGUGCGGAAGAGGGUCGUGGAAUUCCCAGUGUAGAGGUGAAAUUCGUAGAUAUUGGGAAGAACACCGGUGGCGAAGGCGGCGACCUGGUCCGUGACUGACGCUGAGGCGCGAAAGCGUGGGGAGCAAACAGG